UAACACAAAAAACUUAUAUAUUAUUUUUGGUAUGAACACCAAUAGCAACAUGUUGCCUUAUGAGCAUACUUCUGUUUCGAUACAGCCGCUUAGCACUCGCAAGCAUUUACUCUUUUCUCUACAAGGAUCGGAUCUCACUCCGACGAAUGCUGUUAGAGUUUGCUAGGCAGAUUUACCUAUAUGAGUACGUUUUCUCUUAAAAGGUUUGAUGAGUUGUCCACCUCUUCUAUGAUGUUGUAGUAUUUUGUAUCGAUCGAUCAAUGAAUGUUUAUUUGCGUCAUAUAAAUAUGUAACGCACUAACAAAGUUUGGGAUAAAAAUCUUAUCCAAAAGCUACAUUCCCAAUUUCCCAUCUAGUAGUGAUGAAUCUGGAUCGGUACCCACCUCACGUAUCUCAAGCUUGUCGGGCAGUCAGUCACAACGAUACAACAGCAGCAACAGUGCUUCAUUACCCCAGAUCCCCAGUUUCAGAUUUCCCCUCAGAAAAAAAUAAUAUAUAGUUCAGUUAUUGCAGCCUUUUGUCUUGUUCGAUGAGGUCACCACCACAUUAAUUUACAUUCAUUUGUAACGCUUGACUUAAUAUAUUUACCCACACACAGCCUGCCAACAUGGACAAAUCUAGAAUCCUCCAGUAAUUAACCAACGGCACCAAAAAAUAUAAAAUAAACAACUGCAUGAUUUGAAUGAGCUAAUUUGAAUAUGUGGUGUUUUUGAAUAAAAUAAUAUGUUAUUUGAGAAUGUUAUAUUUAUAAAGUGUAAAGAAAUUAUGAAGAAAAUUAUUUUAUUUAACUGAUAAGCUAUUUUAUAUAAUUUGAUAUCAAAAGAGGUAUUUAAAAUAACUUAAAAUUUAGUUAUUUAAAUUAAUGUCACAGUUCGAAAUGUUACAAAUUUUAUUUUUAUUAUGAAAAUACUAUAAUUUUUUUAUUGGAUGCCAAAUAAAUUAUUUUAAUCUGAAUAACUCAAAAUAAAUUAUUUUAAUCAAAAUAUCUCCCUUAAAUCCAAACAAUUAUCAUGUAAUUUAAUUAAUUUAAUUACCAUAAACAUCAUGACAACCUGUAUAAACAAUAUACAGAAGAAGACAAAGUCAGUACCCGAACACAAGCAAUUGGCCCACGUGGCGCAAUGUGCNN
rnacentral:lncRNA from 1 species